rfam:Candidatus Buchananbacteria bacterium RIFCSPLOWO2_01_FTLL_40_23b rifcsplowo2_01_scaffold_29383, whole genome shotgun sequence.
GGGUCGGUACUCAAGCGGUCAACGAGGGCUGACUGUAAAUCAGCUGGCUUUGCCUACGGGGGUUCGAAUCCCUCCCGGCCCA